GGAUCGAUGAUAAGUUUCCCAUAAAAAUAUUCCUUGAAAAAGUUGAACAAAAUGAGUGAAAACUCACAACUGUCAUUCUCAUCAGAACUGAGGUCC
rnacentral:snoRNA from 1 species